rnacentral:rRNA from 1 species
GUUUCUUCGGAAAUGGAUUAGCGGCGAACGGGUGAGGAACACGUGAAGAAUCUGCCCUCCACUUUGGGAUAACACCGGGAAACCGGUGCUAAUACCGAAUAUUGAAACAUAAGUGGCAUCACUGAGUUUUGAAAGAAUUUCGGUGGAGGAUGACUUCGCGGCCUAUCAGCUAGUUGGUGAGGUAAUGGCUCACCAAGGCAACGACAGGUAGCCGGCCUGAGAGGGCGACCGGCCACACUGGGACUGAGACACGGCCCAGACUCCUACGGGAGGCAGCAGUGGGGAAUAUUGGGCAAUGGAGGAAACUCUGACCCAGCGACGCCGCGUGCGGGAUGAAGGCCUUCGGGUUGUAAACCGCUUUCAGUAGGGAAGAAGCGAAAGUGACGGUACCUACAAAAGAAGCACCGGCUAACUAUGUGCCAGCAGCCGCGGUAAUACAUAGGGUGCAAGCGUUGUCCGGAAUUAUUGGGCGUAAAGAGCUCGUAGGUCGUUUGUUACGUCGGAUGUGAAAACCUGAGGCUCAACCUCAGGCCUGCAUUCGAUACGGGCAAACUAGAGUUUGGUAGGGGAGACUGGAAUUCCUGGUGUAGCGGUGGAAUGCGCAGAUAUCAGGAGGAACACCAAUGGCGAAGGCAGGUCUCUGGGCCAAUACUGACACUGAGGAGCGAAAGUCUGGGGAGCGAACAGGAUUAGAUACCCUGGUAGUCCAGACCGU